CCUACGGGAGGCAGCAGUGAGGAAUAUUGGUCAAUGGACGAGAGUCUGAACCAGCCAAGUAGCGUGAAGGAUGACUGCCCUAUGGGUUGUAAACUUCUUUUAUAUGGGAAUAAAAUGUUCCACGUGUGGGAUUUUGUAUGUACCAUAUGAAUAAGGAUCGGCUAACUCCGUGCCAGCAGCCGCGGUAAUACGGAGGAUCCGAGCGUUAUCCGGAUUUAUUGGGUUUAAAGGGAGCGUAGGUGGAUUGUUAAGUAAGUUGUGAAAGUUUGCGGCUCAACCGUAAAAUUGCAGUUGAAACUGGCAGUCGUGAGUACAGUAGAGGUGGGCGGAAUUCGUGGUGUAGCGGUGAAAUGCUUAGAUAUCACGAAGAACUCCGAUUGCGAAGGCAGCUCACUGGACUGCAACUGACACUGAGGCUCGAAAGUGUGGGUAUCAAACAGGAUUAGAUACCCCUGUAGUC
rnacentral:rRNA from 1 species